CCUGCAGUGGCCAGUGAAUUGGCAAUCAGCUCAGCUGCUUUUGAGUCUCCCUCAGCAGAGAUGACAGCUGCUUUCUUCUGCUGCUCAGCCUGAGAGGGAACAAAUGAGAAGGAAAAUGAAACACAGAAAACAAGAGCAAAAGGCGUCAUGCCCAUGAUACCAAACACGACGGAAAACUUCAGCCACCUCUCAAAAUUCACAAGCAGCAGGAUCACUCAGGUUGAUCUCAACCUUUAAAGGUAAAUCUCAACCUUUAUCCCCAUUUAUAAGUAACAUUUUCCCUUGAGAGUAUUCUCUCUUCCCAUCCUUGCAGGCACUUCUGUCCUGAAGUCUUACAAGAUUAUGACAUGAAAUAAAAAAGGAAAAAGAAAAAUGAACAGAACAUUAGGCUUUACCUAUCCAACAAUGAUGGGCCAGAGCUGAGAGCUGUAUAAGCAUUAUGACCCUCUGACAUCUCUCAUUCACCUGUCCAGUACCCUGAACAGGAGGAUGUUCACUACAAGCUGGAUUGGCAAAGAGAUACCAGGAACUGUUUCCAAGCUAAAGUUCCUCUGAAGGAUAACGUACCUUUUCCACAAUAAAUCUGGCUCGUUCUGCUUCC